UACAGGGGGUGCAAACGUUGCUCGGAAUUAUUGGGCGUAAAGCGCGCGUAGGCGGCCGCUUAAGUCGGAUGUGAAAGCCCCUGGCUCAACUGGGGAAGUGCACCCGAAACUGAGUGGCUUGAGUACUAAAGAGGGUCGCGGAAUUCCCGGUGUAGAGGUGAAAUUCGUAGAUAUCGGGAGGAACACCUAUGGCGAAGGCAGCUUGCUGGGACGGCACUGACGCUGAGACGCGAAAGCGUGGGGAGCAAACAGG
rnacentral:rRNA from 1 species